AUUGAACGCUGGCGGCAGGCCUAACACAUGCAAGUCGAGCGGUAACAGGAAUCAGCUUGCUGAUUCGCUGACGAGCGGCGGACGGGUGAGUAAUGUCUGGGAAACUGCCUGAUGGAGGGGGAUAACUACUGGAAACGGUAGCUAAUACCGCAUAACGUCUACGGACCAAAGGGGGGGACCUUCGGGCCUCAUGCCAUCCGAUGUGCCCAGAUGGGAUUAGCUAGUUGGUGGGGUAACGGCUCACCAAGGCGACGAUCCCUAGCUGGUCUGAGAGGAUGACCAGCCACACUGGAACUGAGACACGGUCCAGACUCCUACGGGAGGCAGCAGUGGGGAAUAUUGCACAAUGGGCGCAAGCCUGAUGCAGCCAUGCCGCGUGUAUGAAGAAGGCCUUCGGGUUGUAAAGUACUUUCAGCGGGGAGGAAGGUGUUGUGGUUAAUAACCGCAGCAAUUGACGUUACCCGCAGAAGCAGCACCGGCUAACUCCGUGCCAGCAGCCGCCGUAAAAC
rnacentral:rRNA from 1 species